GGCUUAACACAUGCAAGUCGAGGGGUAACAGGGAGUGCUUGCACUCCGCUGACGACCGGCGCACGGGUGCGUAACGCGUAUGCAACCUACCUUCUACAGGGGGAUAGCCCAGAGAAAUUUGGAAUAAUACCCCAUACGAUCAUUAAUUGGCAUCGAUUGAUGAAGAAAACUCCGGUGGUAGAAGAUGGGCAUGCGUCCUAUUAGUUAGUUGGUGAGGUAACGGCUCACCAAGACGUCGAUAGGUAGGGGUCCUGAGAGGGAGAUCCCCCACACUGGUACUGAGACACGGACCAGACUCCUACGGGAGGCAGCAGUGAGGAAUAUUGGACAAUGGAGGCAACUCUGAUCCAGCCAUGCCGCGUGCAGGAAGACGGCCCUAUGGGUUGUAAACUGCUUUUAUACAGGAAGAAUUGU
rnacentral:rRNA from 1 species